rnacentral:rRNA from 1 species
UACGUAGGGGGCGAGCGUUGUCCGGAUUUAUUGGGCGUAAAGAGCGUGUAGGCGGCCAGGUAGGUCCGUUGUGAAAACUCGAGGCUCAACCUCGAGACGUCGAUGGAAACCAUCUGGCUAGAGUCCGGAAGAGGAGAGUGGAAUUCCUGGUGUAGCGGUGAAAUGCGCAGAUAUCAGGAAGAACACCGAUGGCGAAGGCAGCUCGCUGGGACGAUACUGACGCUGAGGCGCGAAAGCGUGGGGAGCAAACAGG